GGCGAGACUGCCGGUGAUAAACCGGAGGAAGGUGGGGAUGACGUCAAGUCAUCAUGCCCCUUAUGACCUGGGCUACACACGUGCUACAAUGGACGAUACAACGAGUCGCAAAACCGCGAGGUUAAGCUAAUCUCUUAAAGUCGUUCUCAGUUCGGAUUGCAGGCUGCAACUCGCCUGCAUGAAGUCGGAAUCGCUAGUAAUCGCGGAUCAGCAUGCCGC
rnacentral:rRNA from 1 species